GCUUAACACAUGCAAGUCGAGGGGCAGCAUGGUCUUAGCUUGCUAAGGCCUAUGGCGACCGGCACACGGGUGAGUAACACGUAUCCCACCUGCCGUCUACUCUUGGACAGCCUUCUGAAAGGAAGAUUAAUACAAGAUGGCAUCAUGAGUCCGCAUGUUCACAUGAUUAAAGGUAUUCCGGUAGACGAUGGGGAUGCGUUCCAUUAGAUAGUAGGCGGGGUAACGGCCCACCUAGUCUUCGAUGAAUAGGGGUUCUGAGAGGAAGGUCCCCCACAUUGGAACUGAGACACGGUCCAAACUCCUACGGGAGGCAGCAGUGAGGAAUAUUGGUCAAUGGGCGAGAGCCUGAACCAGCCAAGUAGCGUGAAGGAUGACUGCCCUAUGGGUUGUAAACUUCUUUUAUAAAGGAAUAAAGUCGGGUAUGCAUACCCGUUUGCAUGUACUUUAUGAAUAAGGAUCGGCUAACUCCGUGCCAGCAGCCGCGGUAAUACGGAGGAUCCGAGCGUUAUCCGGAUUUAUUGGGUUUAAAGGGAGCGUAGAUGGAUGUUUAAGUCAGUUGUGAAAGUUUGCGGCUCAACCGUAAAAUUGCAGUUGAUACUGGAUAUCUUGAGUGCAGUUGAGGCAGGCGGAAUUCGUGGUGUAGCGGUGAAAUGCUUAGAUAUCACGAAGAACUCCGAUUGCGAAGGCAGCCUGCUAAGCUGCAACUGACAUUGAGGCUCGAAAGUGUGGGUAUCAAACAGGAUUAGAUACCCUGGUAGUCCACACGGUAAACGAUGAAUACUCGCUGUUUGCGAUAUACUGCAAGCGGCCCAGCGAAAGCGUUAAGUAUUC
rnacentral:rRNA from 1 species